rnacentral:rRNA from 1 species
UUUCGCAAUGCCCGAAAGGGUGACGAAGCGACGCCGCGUGAGUGAGGAAGGCCUUCGGGUUGUAAAGCUCUGUCAGGAGUUAAGAAAUAUAAGUGUGCUAAUACCACAUUUAUUUGACGAAGGCUCCAAAGGAAGCCACGGCUAACUCUGUGCCAGCAGCCGCGGUAAUACAGAGGUGGCAAGCGUUGUUCGGAAUUAUUGGGCGUAAAGAGCACGUAGGUGGGUUUGUAAGUCAGGUGUGAAAGCCUUCUGUUCAAAGGAAGAACGGCAUCUGAAACUGCAGAUCUUGAGUGUAGGAGGGGAGAGUGGAACUUCUGGUGGAGCGGUGAAAUGCGUAGAUAUCAGAAGGAACGUCGGUGGCGAAAGCGGCUCUCUAUCCUAUUACUGACGCUGAGGCGCGAAAGCUAGGGGAGCAAACGGGAUUAGAUACCCCGGUAGUCCUAGCCGUAAACGUUGGGCACUAAGUAGAGGGGUUUUA